rnacentral:rRNA from 1 species
GAUGAACGCUGGCGGCGUGCCUAAUACAUGCAAGUCGAGCGAACAGACGAGGAGCUUGCUCCUCUGACGUUAGCGGCGGACGGGUGAGUAACACGUGGAUAACCUACCUAUAAGACUGGGAUAACUUCGGGAAACCGGAGCUAAUACCGGAUAAUAUAUUGAACCGCAUGGUUCAAUAGUGAAAGACGGUUUUGGUGUCACUUAUAGAUGGAUCCGCGCCGCAUUAGCUGGUUGGUAAGGUAACGGCUUUCCAAGGCGACGAUGCGUAGCCGACCUGAGAGGCUGAUCGGCCACACUGGAACUGAGACACGGUCCAGACUCCUGCGGGAGGCAGCAGUAGGGAAUCUUCCGCAAUGGGCGAAAGCCUUACGGAGCAACGCCGCGUGAGUUAUGAAGGUCUUCGGAUCGUAAAACUCUGUUAUUAGGUAAGAACAAAUGUGUAAGUAACUAUGCACGUCUUGACGGUACCUAAUCAGAAAGCCACGGCUAACUACGUG